rnacentral:rRNA from 1 species
AAAUUGAAGAGUUUGAUCAUGGCUCAGAUUGAACGCUGGCGGCAGGCCUAACACAUGCAAGUCGAGCGGCAGCGGGAAAGUAGCUUGCUACUUUUGCCGGCGAGCGGCGGACGGGUGAGUAAUGCCUGGGAAAUUGCCCAGUCGAGGGGGAUAACAGUUGGAAACGACUGCUAAUACCGCAUACGCCCUACGGGGGAAAGCAGGGGACCUUCGGGCCUUGCGCGAUUGGAUAUGCCCAGGUGGGAUUAGCUAGUUGGUGAGGUAAUGGCUCACCAAGGCGACGAUCCCUAGCUGGUCUGAGAGGAUGAUCAGCCACACUGGAACUGAGACACGGUCCAGACUCCUACGGGAGGCAGCAGUGGGGAAUAUUGCACAAUGGGGGAAACCCUGAUGCAGCCAUGCCGCGUGWGUGAWGAAGGCCUUMGGGUUGUAAAGCACUUUCAGCGAGGAGGAAGGAA